ACAUAUUGACAAAUGCUCUUUUUACAUGAUUAAUCAAUUAUUGUAACAUUUUGAACAAUAAGUCUAAAAGACAAAUUUAAAUACUUUUAUAUCAAAAUAAAUAUUAAUAAAAUUUAAUAAAUUUGAAAAUAUUGCUGGGAAGUACAAACAUCUCUAAUUUGGUGGAAAUUUUAAUAAAACAAAACAAAAGCUCUUUAAAAAAUGUAUUAUUACCAUUGUUAAUAUUAUAAUUAGUAAUUAUGAAUAAAUUUAAACCUCUAGUAGUGUUUCUACUAGGUAUACGAAAACCAAUUUCAGCCAAAAGCUCAGGACAUUCAAAAAGGUUGUUUAAAACACUACACACUGUUGCUUUUUAUUGCUACACAUUAUUACUAAAUGGAUACUUUUUUUUAAUUAUAUUGAUGUAAAACAUAAAUUCUAAAUUUGGAUUUUAUGAUAAUUAACUGUGGGUCGCAACCCACUGGUUUGUCCCAAAUCAAUUAAUGAUAGGUCAUGAAAAUUAUUUAGAAUUAUAUAGAUUCUAAGAAAUUUAAGUUUUUUAAAUGGAGCGAGAAAUGUAUUGGUUUUACAAUGUUUUUAUAUUAUCUGUGAAAAACUUUUUUACCAGCAAUUUCACUAAGAUUUUCAAGUGUAGCACUUUUUCUGAAAGGAAAUCCGACUGUGGUGGUAAUUCAGUGAAAUCAUCUUUUGAU